rnacentral:rRNA from 1 species
GAUGAACGCUGGCGGCGUGCCUAAUACAUGCAAGUCGAGCGAACAGACGAGGAGCUUGCUCCUCUGACGUUAGCGGCGGACGGGUGAGUAACACGUGGAUAACCUACCUAUAAGACUGGGAUAACUUCGGGAAACCGGAGCUAAUACCGGAUAAUAUAUUGAACCGCAUGGUUCAAUAGUGAAAGACGGUUUUGCUGUCACUUAUAGAUGGAUCCGCGCCGCAUUAGCUAGUUGGUAAGGUAACGGCUUACCAAGGCAACGAUGCGUAGCCGACCUGAGAGGGUGAUAGGCCACACUGGAACUUGGACACGGUCCAGACUCCUACGGGAGGCAGCAGUAGGGAAUCUUCCGCAAUGGGCGAAAGCCUGACGGAGCAACGCCGCGUGAGUGAUGAAGGUCUUCGGAUCGUAAAACUCUGUUAUUAGGGAAGAACAAAUGUGUAAGUAACUAUGCACGUCUUGACGGUACCUAAUCAGAAAGCCACGGCUAACUACGUG